rnacentral:rRNA from 1 species
GAGUUUGAUCAUGGCUCAGGAUGAACGCUGGCGGCGUGCCUAAUACAUGCAAGUCGAGCGAACAGACGAGGAGCUUGCUCCUCUGACGUUAGCGGCGGACGGGUGAGUAACACGUGGAUAACCUACCUAUAAGACUGGGAUAACUUCGGGAAACCGGAGCUAAUACCGGAUAAUAUAUUGAACCGCAUGGUUCAAUAGUGAAAGACGGUUUUGCUGUCACUUAUAGAUGGAUCCGCGCCGCAUUAGCUAGUUGGUAAGGUAACGGCUUACCAAGGCAACGAUGCGUAGCCGACCUGAGAGGGUGGUCGGCCACACUGGAACUGAGACACGGUCCAGACUCCUACGGGAGGCAGCAGUAGGGAAUCUUCCGCAAUGGGCGAAAGCCUGACGGAGCAACGCCGCGUGAGUGAUGAAGGUCUUCGGAUCGUAAAACUCUGUUAUUAGGGAAGAACAAUGUGUAAGUAACUAUGCACGUCUUGACGGUACCUAAUCAGAAAGCCACGGCUAACUACGUGCCAGC